GAAUAUUGGACAAUGGGCGCAAGCCUGAUCCAGCCAUGCCGCGUGUGUGAAGAAGGCCUUCGGGUUGUAAAGCACUUUCAGCGAGGAAGAACGCCUAGCGGUUAAUACCCGCUAGGACAGACAUCACUCGCAGAAGCAUCACCGGCUAACCCCGUCCCAGCAGCCGCGGUAAUACGGAGGGUGCAAGCGUUAAUCGGAAUUACUGGGCGUAGAGCGCGCGUAGGUGGCUUGAUAAGCCGGUUGUGAAAGCCCCGGGCUCAACCUGGGAACGGCAUCCGGAACUGUCAAGCUAGAGUGCAGGAGAGGAAGGUAGAAUUCCCGGUGUAGCGGUGAAAUGCGUAGAGAUCGGGAGGAAUACCAGUGGCGAAGGCGGCCUUCUGGACUGACACUGACACUGAGGUGCGAAAGCGUGGGUAGCAAACAGG
rnacentral:rRNA from 1 species